rnacentral:rRNA from 1 species
AUUGAACGCUGGCGGCAGGCCUAACACAUGCAAGUCGAGCGGAGCGGCGGACGGGUAAGUAAUGCCUAGGAAUCGGCCUGGUAGUGGGGGAUAACGUCCGGAAAAGGGAGCUAAUGCCGCAUACUAUCACCAGAGGAUAGGUCGGAUGAGCUAGUUGGUGGGGUAAAGGCCUACCAAGGCGACGAUCCGUAACUGGUCCGAGAGGAUGAUCAGUAACACUGGAACUGAGACACGGUCCAGACUCCUACGGGAGGCAGCAGUGGGGAAUAUUGGACAAUGGGCGAAAGCCUGAUCCAGCCAUGCCGCGGGUGUGAAGAAGGUCUUCGGAUUGUAAAGUACUUUCAGUUGGGAGGCGUUACCAACAGAAUAAGCACCGGCUAACUUCGUGCCAGCAGCCGCGGUAAUAC